AUUGAACGCUGGCGGCAUGCCUUACACAUGCAAGUCGAACGGCAGCGCGGGUGCUUGCACCUGGCGGCGAGUGGCGAACGGGUGAGUAAUACAUCGGAACGUGCCCUAGAGUGGGGGAUAACUAGUCGAAAGAUUAGCUAAUACCGCAUACGAUCUACGGAUGAAAGUGGGGGACCGCAAGGCUCCAUGCUCCUGGAGCGGCCGAUGUCUGAUUAGCUAGUUGGUGGGGUAAUAGCCUACCAAGGCGACGAUCAGUAGCUGGUCUGAGAGGACGACCAGCCACACUGGGACUGAGACACGGCCCAGACUCCUACGGGAGGCAGCAGUGGGGAAUUUUGGACAGUGGGGGCAACCCUGAUCCAGCAAUGCCGCGUGUGUGAAGAAGGCCUUCGGGUUGUAAAGCACUUUUGUCAGGAACGAAACGGUGGGGGCUAAUACCUCCUGCUAAUGACGGUACCUGAAGAAUAAGCACCGGCUAACUACGUGCCAGCCGCCGCAGUAA
rnacentral:rRNA from 1 species